CCACCCCCUGACUUUGACCUCUAUCGAUGAGUCAGAGAGGAAGUGGACAGUGCGUUAUUCAUUACAGCAAAGGAUUUCGUUGGCAUCAAAAUCUAAGUUUGUUUUACAAAGAUUGUUUUUAGUACUAAGCUGCCUUGGCAGUUUGCAUUUUUGAGCCAAACAAAAAUAUAUUAUUUUCCCUUCUAAGUAAAAAAAAAAAAAAAAUCACCUCUUAAGCUAGAAUAUCCUUCAAACUUUGAAAUGUGCAAUAAAGAAUACCUGUGUUUAGUUCAUGUAGCAUAUGUAAUGAUUGCUAAAUGAUUUAGAAUAUCAAGUAUGAACAUUUCCUGUGGAAAUGCUUUAAGAACACGUAUUUCCAUGGCCUUGGUGUAGUGUAUGCCAGCUGAUUUGAGCAAGGUGUUUACAGCUCCAUUUGUGUCUCAAAGACUGUUACGCUAAAAAGAAAAGUUUACUCAAGGAUCAUAAACUGUCCCGUUGCUAAAGUUCUUUGUAGUAAUAGUUCAUAAACUUGGUUUAUUACUGUUUCCCAGUGUCUGCUGAUUCUUUGGGUUGCUCUGAGACAUGCAUCAUUUGGGAAACCUGACAACUAUACUUCUGGAACUACAGUGGUGGGCUGUGUACAUCCCAUGUGACAAUGUUGAGUUCUCCUUCAAAGUCAUCAGUGAGCUCUACCAGGAAUUUCCUCUUCUUUUUUUCCUCUUCUUUUCUUGUUUUAAAAAAAGAUUUAUUUAUUUAUUAUAUAUGAGUACAGUGUAGCUGUCUUCAGACACACCAUAAGAGGGCGCCAGAUCUCAUUGCAGAUGGUUGUGAGCCACCAUGUGAUUGCUGGGAUUUGAACUCGGGACCUUUGGAAGAACAGUCAGUGCUCUUAACCGCUGAGCCAUCUCUCCAACCCCCUCUCUGCUUUCAAAUAAGCCAGAGGCCCCACUCAUUCUAGAUGACUGCCCUUUCUUGGUGCUCAUAGCUUGAGAAUGAAUGAAUUUGUACUACUAUCAAGAAUUAUUUGGAGUGGGUGUGGUGGCUCACAUCUUUAAUCCCAGCACCUGAGAGGCAAAGGCAGGCAUAUAUCUGAGUUCCAGGACAGCCAGAGCUACAUAGAAUCUGUCUCAAAAACU
rnacentral:lncRNA from 1 species